UAACUGUGUUGUUACUCCCUCGCUGAUGGU
rnacentral:piRNA from 1 species